GCGUCUGUAGCUCAGUUGGAUAGAGCAAUGGACUUCUAAUCCAUAGGUCGCAGGUUCGAAUCCUGCCAGACGCGCCA
rnacentral:tRNA from 1 species